rnacentral:misc_RNA from 1 species
GAUGAAGAACGCAGCGAAAUGCGAUAAGUAAUGUGAAUUGCAGAAUUCAGCGAAUCAUCGAAUCUUUGAACGCACAUUGCGCCCGCCAGUAUUCUGGCGGGCAUGCCUGUCUGAGCGUCAUUUCAACCCUCAUGCCCCUAGGGCGUGGUGUUGGGGAUCGGCCAAAGCCCGCGAGGGACGGCCGGCCCCUAAAUCUAGUGGCGGACCCGUCGUGGCCUCCUCUGCGAAGUAGUGAUAUUCCGCAUCGGAGAGCGAUGAGCCCCUGCCGUUAAACCCCCAACUUUCCAAGGUUGACCUCAGAUCAGGUAGGAAUACCCGCUGAACUUAAGCAUAUCAAUAAGCGGAGGA